GGAGGUGUGUGUGUGUAUGUGUGUGUGUGUGUGUGUGUGUGUGUGUGUGUAUAAUGCAUGCACACAUACACACACACACACACACACACAUACAGAAAAGAACCCAUACAUAU